CACGUAGUUAGCCGGGGCUCCUUACUCAGGUACCGUCAUCUUCUUCCCUGCUGAUAGAGCUUUACAUACCGAAAUACUUCUUCACUCACGCGGCGUUGCUGCAUCAGGGUUUCCCCCAUUGUGCAAUAUUCCCCGCUGCUGCCUCCCGUAGGAGUUUGGGCCGUGUCUCAGUCCCAAUGUGGCCGGUCACCCUCUCAGGUCGGCUACUGAUCGUCGCCUUGGUGGGCCGUUACCCCUCAACUAGCUAAUCAGACGCGGGUCCAUCUCAUACCACCGGUAGUUUUUCACACAAGAACAUGCAUCCUCGUGCGCUUAUGCGGUAUUAGCAGUCAUUUCUAACUGUUACUCCCCCUGUACUGACGGCACGGUUACCCACGUCGUUACUCCGACCCGUCCGCCACUCACGUCAAUCUAGCCUCCAUACCGAAAACUUCCGACUAAACUCGUCUUCGUUCGACUUGCAUGUGUUAAGCACGCCGCC
rnacentral:rRNA from 1 species